UCCCUUGUAGCUCAGUCAGUAAAGGCUCUGCCUGCAAUGCAGAAGACCUGGGUUCAAUUCCUGGGUUGGGAA
rnacentral:tRNA from 1 species